rnacentral:rRNA from 1 species
UACGUAGGUGGCAAGCGUUGUCCGGAAUUAUUGGGCGUAAAGCGCGCGCAGGCGGUCCUUUAAGUCUGAUGUGAAAGCCCACGGCUCAACCGUGGAGGGUCAUUGGAAACUGGGGGACUUGAGUGCAGGAGAGAAGAGUGGAAUUCCACGUGUAGCGGUGAAAUGCUUAGAUAUCGUCAAGAACACCGAUAGUGAAGACAGCUUACUAGACUGUAACUGACGCUGAGGCACGAAAGUGUGGGGAUCAAACAGG